AUUGAACGCUAGCGGGAUGCUUUACACAUGCAAGUCGAACGAGUGGCGGACGGGUGAGUAAUAUAUCGGAACGUGCCCAGUAGCGGGGGAUAACUACUCGAAAGAGUGGCUAAUACAGCAUACUAUGGGAGCGGCCGAUCUCGGAUUAUCUCGUGGGUGGGGUAAAGGCUCACCAAGGCAAGGAUCCGUAGCUGGUUUGAGAGGACGACCAGCCACACUGGGACUGAGACACGGCACAGACUCCUACGGGCGGCAGCAGUGGGGAAUUUUGGACAAGGGGGGAAACCCUGAUCCAGCCAUCCCGCGUGUAUGAGAAGGCCUUCGGGUUGUAAAGUACUUUUGGCAGAGAAGCGGUAUCUGCAGAAUAAGCACCGGCUAACUACGUGCCAGCAGCCGCGGUAAUUC
rnacentral:rRNA from 1 species